CGAACGGAGAUAUUUGGUUUACUGAGAUAUCUUAGUGGCGGACGGGUGAGUAACACGUGAGCAACCUGCCUUUGAGAGAGGGAUAGCUUCUGGAAACGGAUGGUAAUACCUCAUGACAUACUUUUAUCGCAUGGUAGAAGUAUCAAAGAUUUAUCACUCAGAGAUGGGCUCGCGUCUGAUUAGCUAGUUGGUGAGGUAACGGCUCACCAAGGCGACGAUCAGUAGCCGGACUGAGAGGUUGAACGGCCACAUUGGGACUGAGACACGGCCCAGACUCCUACGGGAGGCAGCAGGUGGGGAAUAUUGCACAAUGGGGGGAAAAACCCCCUGAUGCAGCGAUGCCGCGUGGAGGAAGUAAGGUUUUCGGAUUGUAAACUCCUGUCUUAAAGGACGAUAAUGACGGUACUUUAGGAGGAAGCUCCGGCUAACUACGUGCCAGCCGCCGC
rnacentral:rRNA from 1 species